rnacentral:lncRNA from 1 species
UGAGCAAAAUCUCUACCAUUGAUCCACAAUUGUAUUAGCAAAUUAUUCACAUAUGCAUAUUUAAGGAUAUUCCUUCUAUUAACUCUUAAUUUGUUUAUUUUUUUAUUAUUUUAUUUAAUAUUAUUUUUACUUUAUUUAAUUAAAAUUCAUCUAUAAAAAAUCAUCUAAUUAUAAGUUAUCAUUUGUGAAUAAUUUUGUAUCUAUAAAUGAUUUAUUAUCCAUGCGCAAAAUUCAUCCAUAAACACUUCAUUUAAUAAAUUUCAUCCAAAUCUUAUUACUUUAAUCCAAAACUUAAGACUUAUUUAGACAUUCAGCUAGUGAUAUGUCUGGUGACCAGGUCUUAAUUUAGGUAUAAAUCUAGCAACCCCAUACGUUAUCGAGCUCCUAGUACAAGCACAGGGCAGCCACAAUUGUACGCCGUCGGAAUGUUGAGAAUGAUCACUAGCACGUCAACUUGAGUGCGACACGUCGCAGAGAAAAAAAAUGCCUCAAUUACAAAAAAUUACAAAAUUUGAGAGCGACGUUGCAGAAGAGAACCUUGAAUUGCCUCUGGCCGCACUGCUUCCAAUUGAAAAAACAAAUGGCACUCAAGAUCUUCUUGACAUCUGCCGCUCGACAACAAUCAACAAAAACCACCCCAACAAAAAUGGAGCAAGACUGGAUCAGGUGGCAGAAUCCUUCGACUGCAACAAUAGUUCAACGGCCGACCUCAAAUCACAAUCAACAAGGAUAUAUGCACUAGAUCAGCGCCACAUUAUGCCUCUUCUAACGUUGAACCAAAGAUAAUAAAGGAGGAAAUGAAGAAC